rnacentral:rRNA from 1 species
UCGGGAAUUUUGGGCAAUGGGCGAAAGCCUGACCCAGCAACGCCGCGUGAAGGAUGAAGUCUCUCGGGAUGUAAACUUCGUAAGAAUAGGAAGAAUAAAUGACGGUACUAUUUGUAAGGUCCGGCUAACUACGUGCCAGCAGCCGCGGUAAUACGUAGGGACCAAGCGUUGUUCGGAUUUACUGGGCGUAAAGGGCGCGUAGGCGGCAAUUCAAGUCAUCUGUGAAAUCUCCGGGCUUAACUCGGAACGGUCAGAUGAUACUGCUUUGCUAGAGUGCAGAAGGGGCAAUCGGAAUUCUUGGUGUAGCGGUGAAAUGCGUAGAUAUCAAGAGGAACACCUGAGGUGAAGACGGGUUGCUGGGCUGACACUGACGCUGAGGCGCGAAAGCCAGGGGAGCAAACGGGAUUAGAUACCCUUGUAGUCCCUGAGCGGGCUGGCAAGGCGCAU